GCGAACAAUGCCAAACCUGUCGCGAGGCAGGGACGGAAAGCCAUGGGUCUCACGGAGAUCGCCAGGUUGCCGGAU
rnacentral:ncRNA from 1 species